UUCUCCAGUCUUUCUCCAGUUGUCCUAUUUAUAACACUUAACUUCGUUUUUCACAGAUUAUGGAGCAAAAGGCAUUCCUCUUGUGAUUCCCCAAAAGGUUAGCUUCAGAGACACAGAACUCACCCUAAUGGAGAAUGCUGCUGUAAUAGGGACUGAUUUGGUGAUUCAUGAAGUUUAAUUUCUUAAAAAGAAAAGAAUAAAAAUCAAGUAAAAAACAACAAAACAAAACAAAAACAGUAUUCAAAUAACUGAAAAAAAAAAA